rnacentral:rRNA from 1 species
ACGGAGGCUGCAGCAGUGGGGAAUAUUGCAAAAUGAGCGAAAGCUUGAUGCAGCCAUACCGCGUGUGUGAAGAAGGCCCGAGGGUUGUAAAGCACUUUCAAUUGGGGGGAAGAUAGAGUAGUUAAUACCUGCUUUAUUUGACGUUACCUUUAGAAGAAGCACCGGCUAACUCUGUGCCAGCAGCCGCGGUAAUACAGAGGGUGCAAGCGUUAUUCGGAAUUACUGGGCGUAAAGCGCGCGUAGGCGGAUUAGUAAGUCAGUUGUGAAAGCCCUGGGCUCAACCUAGGAACUGCAUCUGAUACUGCUAGUCUAGAGUUUAGUAGAGGGAAGGGGAAUUCCAGGUGUAGCAGUGAAAUGCGUAGAUAUCUGGAGGAACAUCAGUGGCGAAGGCGCCUUCCUGGACUAAAACUGACGCUGAGGUGCGAAAGCGUGGGUAGCGAACGGGAUUAGAUACCCUCGUAGUC